rnacentral:rRNA from 1 species
GCUGGAGGUAUCAGAAGUGCGAAUGCUGACAUAAGUAACGAUAAAGCGGGUGAAAAGCCCGCUCGCCGGAAGACCAAGGGUUCCUGUCCAACGUUAAUCGGGGCAGGGUGAGUCGACCCCUAAGGCGAGGCCGAAAGGCGUAGUCGAUGGGAAACGGGUUAAUAUUCCCGUACUUGGUGUUACUGCGAAGGGGGGACGGAGAAGGCUAUGUUGGCCGGGCGACGGUUGUCCCGGUUUAAGCGUGUAGGUGUGUGUUCCAGGUAAAUCCGGUUCACUUUAACACUGAGGCGUGACGACGAGGCACUACGGUGCUGAAGCAACAAAUGCCCUGCUUCCAGGAAAAGCCUCUAAGCAUCAGGUAACAUCAAAUCGUACCCCAAACCGACACAGGUGGUCAGGUAGAGAAUACCAAGGCGCUUGAGAGAACUCGGGUGAAGGAACUAGGCAAAAUGGUGCCGUAACUUCGGGAGAAGGCACGCUGACACGUAGGUGAAGUGAUUUACUCAUGGAGCUGAAGUCAGUCGAAGAUACCAGCUGGCUGCAACUGUUUAUUAAAAACACAGCACUGUGCAAACACGAAAGUGGACGUAUACGGUGUGACGCCUGCCCGGUGCCGGAAGGUUAAUUGAUGGGGUCAGCGCAAGCGAAGCUCCUGAUCGAAGCCCCGGUAAACGGCGGCCGUAACUAUAACGGUCCUAAGGUAGCGAAAUUCCUUGUCGGGUAAGUUCCGACCUGCACGAAUGGCGUAAUGAUGGCCAGGCUGUCUCCACCCGAGACUCAGUGAAAUUGAACUCGCUGUGAAGAUGCAGUGUACCCGCGGCAAGACGGAAAGACCCCGUGAACCUUUACUAUAGCUUGACACUGAACAUUGAGCCUUGAUGUGUAGGAUAGGUGGGAGGCUUUGAAGUGUGGACGCCAGUCUGCAUGGAGCCGACCUUGAAAUACCACCCUUUAAUGUUUGAUGUUCUAACGUGGACCCGUAAUCCGGGUUGCGGACAGUGUCUGGUGGGUAGUUUGACUGGGGCGGUCUCCUCCUAAAGAGUAACGGAGGAGCACGAAGGUUGGCUAAUCCUGGUCGGACAUCAGGAGGUUAGUGCAAUGGCAUAAGCCAGCUUGACUGCGAGCGUGACGGCGCGAGCAGGUGCGAAAGCAGGUCAUAGUGAUCCGGUGGUUCUGAAUGGAAGGGCCAUCGCUCAACGGAUAAAAGGUACUCCGGGGAUAACAGGCUGAUACCGCCCAAGAGUUCAUAUCGACGGCGGUGUUUGGCACCUCGAUGUCGGCUCAUCACAUCCUGGGGCUGAAGUAGGUCCCAAGGGUAUGGCUGUUCGCCAUUUAAAGUGGUACGCGAGCUGGGUUUAGAACGUCGUGAGACAGUUCGGUCCCUAUCUGCCGUGGGCGCUGGAGAACUGAGGGGGGCUGCUCCUAGUACGAGAGGACCGGAGUGGACGCAUCACUGGUGUUCGGGUUGUCAUGCCAAUGGCACUGCCCGGUAGCUAAAUGCGGAAGAGAUAAGUGCUGAAAGCAUCUAAGCACGAAACUUGCCCCGAGAUGAGUUCUCCCUGAGACUUAGAGUCUCCUGAAGGAACGUUGAAGACGACGACGUUGAUAGGCCGGGUGUGUAAGCGCAGCGAUGCGUUGAGCUAACCGGUACUAAUGAACCGUGAGGCUUAACCUUAC